ensembl:snoRNA small nucleolar RNA, C/D box 100
GCUGUACAAUGAUGAUACCUUGGCUCCCUCUGCUGAUGCCUGUGAGGAGAGCAGCCAUCCGUUACCCAAAACUUCUGACAGUACAGC